CCUGAGAAACCCAAAAGAUCGAAUGGGGAGAUUCAUCGUCAGCUCAUUUUGUAUAUGUACAAGUUACGAUGCGGGUUACUACUUUGUAGUAUUGCCUGCACGUUCUUAUAUAUUUAGUUGCAAGAUGUUGUCGGCGUGCACUUCUCCCCUAGUAGGACGUCGCAACCCGUUGGGUGUCGGUCUACGGCCCAAGCGAUAGCCUUUAAUGUAAUUCAAAAAACAUUGAAGAUCCUUGGUGUAUUCUGACCGGCUACUUGGCGGUACUCGUACGGUAUUUAGCCGCAUAAUAAUUAUAUGCGUCCAUGCCCGUCGCAAGCGAGGCCAAUAACUGAUAGUACGGACCUAGUGCCGUCGUUGGUAUUGGCCAGCUGUUGGUUGUACGGUGUUCUAGGACUGGCUAAAAUUAAUACCGGUUGGCGAUGCUACUGCUUUGGGUACUUUCAGGACCCGU
rnacentral:rRNA from 1 species